GAUGAACGCUGGCGGCGUGCCUAAUACAUGCAAGUCGAGCGAACGGACGAGAAGCUUGCUUCUCUGUUGUUUGCGGCGGACGGGUGAGUCACACGUGGAUACCCUCCCUAUAAGACUGGGAUAACUUCGGGAAACCGGCGCUAAUACCGGAUAAUAUUUUGCACCGCAUGGUUCAAAAGUGAAAGACGGUCUUGCUGUCACUUAUAGAUGGAUCCGCGCUUCAUUAGCUAGUUGGUAAGGUCACGGCUUACCAAGGCAACGAUGCAUAUCCGACCGGAUAGGGGGAUCGGCCACACUGGAGCGUGGCCACGGUCCAGGCUCCUACGGGAGGCAGCAGUAGGGAACCGGCGGCAAUGGGCGAGAGCCUUACGGAGCAACGCCGCGUGAGUGAUGAAGGUCUUCGGAUCGUAAAACUCUGUUAUUAGGGAAGAACAUAUGUGUAAUUAACUGUGCACAUCUUGACGGUACCUAAUCAGAAAGCCACGGCUAACUACGUG
rnacentral:rRNA from 1 species